CAGACGCUUCGCUAUCGCGUGAGCGGCGGACGGGUGAGUAAUGUAUGGGGAUCUGCCUGAUGGCGGGGGAUCACUACUGGAAACGGUAGCUAAUACCGCCUACCAACAGAUGAACCCAUAUGGGAUUAGCUAGUCGGUAAGGUAACGGCUUACCUAGGCGACUAUCCCUAGCUGGUCUGAGACGAUGAGCAGCCACACUGGAACUGAGACACGGCCCAGACGCCUCCGGGAGGCAGCAGUGGGUAAUAUUGCACCAUGGGCGCAAGCCUGAUGCAGCCAGGCAGCGUGUAUGAAGAAGGCCUUCGGGUUGUAAAGUACUUUCAGUCGGGAGGCGUUACCGACAGAAGAAGCACCGGCUAACUCCGUGCCAGCAGCCGCGGUAAUAC
rnacentral:rRNA from 1 species